GAGCAAUGAAGAGAAAUUCGCUUUUGUGAUGUUUGGGUUCAUCUCUGUCUCUGAUCUUACGAUGAAAAACUGCGCUUUUGAGCUC
rfam:Gossypium arboreum cultivar AKA8401 contig_124781_1, whole genome shotgun sequence.